rnacentral:rRNA from 1 species
UACGUAGGGUGCGAGCGUUAAUCGGAAUUACUGGGCGUAAAGCGUGCGCAGGCGGUUUUGUAAGCCAGAUGUGAAAGCCCCGGGCUCAACCUGGGAAUGGCAUUUGGGACUGCAAGGCUGGAGUUUGGCAGAGGAGACUGGAAUUCCUGGUGUAGCAGUGAAAUGCGUAGAUAUCAGGAGGAAUACCGAUGGCGAAGGCGGCUCACUGGGAGUUUCUGACGCUGAGGAACGAAAGCCAGGGUAGCGAACGGG